GGUGACAUAGCUCAGUGGUAGAGCACUUGUCUAGAAUGUGCAAGCCAGUGGGUUUGAUCCCCAGUACCACUA
rnacentral:tRNA from 1 species